GAUCAUGGCUCAGGAUGAACGCUGACAGAAUGCUUAACACAUGCAAGUCUACUUGAUCCUUCGGGUGAUGGUGGCGGACGGGUGAGUAACGCGUAAAGAACUUGCCUUGCAGUCUGGGACAACAUUUGGAAACGAAUGCUAAUACCGGAUAAUUAUGUGAGUUUCGCAUGAAAUUCAUAUGAAAGCUAUAUGCGCUGCAGGAGAGCUUUGCGUCCUAUUAG
rnacentral:rRNA from 1 species